rnacentral:lncRNA from 1 species
AGUCCAGGGUUUGUAUACAUCACUGGGGGGAACUUGCGUUUCCAAGCAACGCGUCCCUCCUGAAACAGGCUAUGAGGAAAUAAUGGUAGCUAAAGUGAGGGGAUGAGCAGUGACAAAAUGAAAGUGGUGGGCCGCCUCUCCCGAGCGGCGGAGGCCAAACGACGGAUGGCAGAUGGCCAGGACAUGCUGACCUCCAUGACACAGAUGGUGGCCUGCACCCAGGACAUCCAGCAGAGAUACCGCAGCAUCCUGGGGCCACUGUCCCUCUUCUUCCAGUCCAACCCUGAGGGAGAGAAGAGGGCAGACAGGGUCCAGGAGGAGAGAACAGUGUCCCCGUCGGUGUCAGAGGGGGUGAAGACCAACCCCACCUCCCUGGCCGACAUGCGUCAGCAGCUGCAGUACCGGAUCCAGGAGCAUUCCGUGCUCCACUCCACCCCUGUGGAGGAUCAGCAAGCUCUGGCGGCGGUAAUGACGUCAGAGCUGGGCCUGAUCUGGCAGGACCUGAAGGGGCUGAUGGAUGAGCCCACGCUGAACCAGGAGGAGAACAGGCAGCUGCAGGCGGAGACGUGCCAGGAGGUGCUCCGCAUCUGCCAGGAGCUCUACCUCAACUAUCUCCACCUGCUGGACAGGCUGAGGCGCCGCGCCGUCUUCAGCGACCAGGCCAACCGCAGCCGCCUGGGGGCCCAGAUGGCCAUAGACUGCACCAGCCUUUUAAACAUCCACUCGAUCAGACGCAGCGUAGCGGCAGGGAUCAAGGCUACGCGGAGAGCACGGCUGAGCGCUGAGAGACCCAGAACUGCCGGACGCGACCUGAAGGGGGCGAUGGAGACACACACAGCGCUGCCAUGCAAACUGGACUUUGGUCUGACUCUGCAGGCCAAGGCUGGCUGCAAAAAGAGCGGUGCCAUCAGGCAGGGCAAAAACCCUAUCGAGAGGGACCUCCGAGAGAUGACUGAGAAGAUGGGAGACAUGGACCUGGAGCAGGUCUAUGACCUGAUGCCCUGCCACCUGGAACUGAUCACUAACAAAGGCUUGCUAUCUCUCGCUCGCUCUUUUCUCUCUAUUGCUCUGUCUCUUUCUCUGUCUCUCUCUCUCUUUCUCUCUCUCUGUCUCUCUCUUUCUCUAUCUCUCUUCCUCUCACACAGACAGGCACACACACAUAUAGUCAAGUACACUUGUGACAAUAAUAAACAAUUGUUUGUUAGUACUAGUAGUAGUGAUAUGUGUGUGUGUGUUUAGAUGCAGCGCGGGCCAGCUUGGCCAAUGUUUCAC